CCGCGAUUGCCUUACAAGACAUGCUGCUGCUGAAGAAACACACGGAGGACAUCAGCAGCGUCUACGAGAUCCGCGAGAGGCUCGGCUCGGGUGCCUUCUCCGAGGUGGUGCUGGCCCAGGAGCGGGGCUCCGCACACCUCGUGGCCCUCAAGUGCAUCCCCAAGAAGGCCCUCCGGGGCAAGGAGGCCCUGGUGGAGAACGAGAUCGCAGUGCUCCGUAGGAUCAGUCACCCCAACAUCGUCGCUCUGGAGGAUGUCCACGAGAGCCCUUCCCACCUCUACCUGGCCAUGGAACUGUGAGGAGGGCCUGGGCAGGCUGUGGGAGCCGGGGAGGGACUGAGCAGUGAGUGGGGCUGAAGGCCAGGCUGAGUGCCUGGGUCAGCCAAACCCCUGGCACCCCCAGGGUGACGGGUGGCGAGCUGUUUGACCGCAUCAUGGAGCGCGGCUCCUACACAGAGAAGGAUGCCAGCCAUCUGGUGGGUCAGGUCCUCGGCGCCGUUUCCUACCUGCACAGCCUGGGGAUCGUGCACCGGGACCUCAAGCCCGAAAACCUCCUGUAUGCCACGCCCUUUGAGGACUCGAAGAUCAUGGUCUCUGACUUUGGACUCUCCAAAAUCCAGGCUGGCAACAUGCUAGGCACCGCCUGUGGGACCCCUGGAUAUGUGGCCCCAGAGCUCUUGGAGCAGAAACCCUACGGGAAGGCCGUAGAUGUGUGGGCCCUGGGCGUCAUCUCCUACAUCCUGCUGUGUGGGUACCCCCCCUUCUACGAUGAGAGCGACCCUGAGCUCUUCAGCCAGAUCCUGAGGGCCAGCUAUGAGUUUGACUCUCCUUUCUGGGAUGACAUCUCAGAAUCAGCCAAAGACUUCAUCCGGCACCUUCUGGAGCGAGACCCCCAGAAGAGGUUCACCUGCCAACAGGCCUUGCAGCAUCUUUGGAUCUCUGGGGACACAGCCUUCGACAGGGACAUCUUAGGCUCUGUCAGUGAGCAGAUCCAGAAGAACUUUGCUCGGACACACUGGAAGCGAGCCUUCAAUGCCACCUCGUUCCUGCGCCACAUCCGGAAGCUGGGGCAGAGCCCAGAGGGCGAGGGGGCCUCUGAGCAGGGCAUGGCCCGCCACAGCCACUCAGGCCUCCGUGCUGGCCAGCCCCCCAAGUGGUGAUGCCCAGGCAGAUGCCGAGGCCAAGUGGACUGACCCCCAGAUUUCCUUCCCUUGGAUGCUUUUGGUCCCCUCUCCCAACCCCUCCCCCUGGGGCUGGCCUCUGCUGGAGUUUGAGAUUUGAGGGUGUGGCGCAUGGCGCUGGGGUUGGAAUGGGGCACCCCCAAGUCUGUCCCCAGGCUCUGCCCUGCCUGGGGGCAGUGGCUCCCCUCCCCUGUUGCCUCUCCCGCCCCAGCCCCCCGCCCCGCCAAAAGCCGAGGAGGUGCUGGCAGGCGGGCCUCAGGGGCUGUCUUUCCUGCACGGCUGUUGUGUGCUUCGCUGAGUGUGGGUGGUCCUGCUUGUGUCAUGGUCAUGGCCUUCCAGCCCCCUCCAGUUUUCCCCAAACCAAUAAAGAAAGAUACAGCAA
rnacentral:sRNA from 1 species